rnacentral:misc_RNA from 1 species
AAGUCGUAACAAGGUUUCCGUAGGUGAACCUGCGGAAGGAUCAUUAUUGAAUGAAUCUAGAGUUUGGUUGUCGCUGGCCUCCCAAUAGGGGGGCAUGUGCACACCUUCUCUUUUCAUCCACACACACCUGUGCACUUGUGAGACGGAGGAUUGAAAAGUCCUCCGUCUACUUUAAUCACACUAAACUCAUCUUAAACUGAAUGUAAUUUGAUGUAAUGCAUCAUUUGAACAAAGUUUCAACAACGGAUCUCUUGGCUCUC